GACGAACGCUGGCGGCGUGCUUAACACAUGCAAGUCGAACGGAAAGGCCCUGCUUUUGUGGGGUGCUCGAGUGGCGAGCGGGUGAGUAACACGUGAGUAACCUGCCCUUGACUUUGGGAUAACUUCAGGAAACUGGGGCUAAUACCGGCUAGGAGCUCCUGCUGCAUGGUGGGGGUUGGAAAGUUUCGGCGGUUGGGGAUGGACUCGCGGCUUAUCAGCUUGUUGGUGGGGUAGUGGCUUACCAAGGCUUUGACGGGUAGCCGGCCUGAGAGGGUGACCGGCCACAUUGGGACUGAGAUACGGCCCAGACUCCUACGGGAGGCAGCAGUGGGGAAUAUUGCACAAUGGGCGGAAGCCUGAUGCAGCAACGCCGCGUGCGGGAUGACGGCCUUCGGGUUGUAAACCGCUUUCGCCUGUGACGAAGCGUGAGUGACGGUAAUGGGUAAAGAAGCACCGGCUAACUACGUG
rnacentral:rRNA from 1 species